rnacentral:rRNA from 1 species
UGGGGGAUUUUGGACAAUGGGCGCAAGCCUGAUCCAGCAAUGCCGCGUGCAGGAUGAAGGCCUUCGGGUUGUAAACUGCUUUUGUACGGAACGAAAAGCCUCUCUCUAAUACAGGGGGGUGAUGACGGUACCGUAAGAAUAAGCACCGGCUAACUACGUGCCAGCAGCCGCGGUAAUACGUAGGGUGCAAGCGUUAAUCGGAAUUACUGGGCGUAAAGCGUGCGCAGGCGGUUUUGUAAGACAGUGGUGAAAUCCCCGGGCUCAACCUGGGAACUGCCAUUGUGACUGCAAGGCUGGAGUGCGGCAGAGGGGGAUGGAAUUCCGCGUGUAGCAGUGAAAUGCGUAGAUAUGCGGAGGAACACCGAUGGCGAAGGCAAUCCCCUGGGCCUGCACUGACGCUCAUGCACGAAAGCGUGGGGAGCAAACAGGAUUAGAUACCCUGGUAGUCCACGCCCUAAACGAUGUCAACUGGUUGUUGGGGAUUUAUUUCUUCAGUAACGAAGCUAACGCGUGAAGUUGACCGCCUGGGGGAGUACGGCCGCAAGGUUAAAAACUC